GUCUAGUCCAAGUGUAGUGGUGAUUCUAACUGAUUAGUCGCAACGAGUUACAGAUUUCUUUGUUCCUUCUCCACUCUCAAUGCUUCACUUGACCAUAUAUAU
ensembl:Y_RNA Y_RNA Y RNA